CCUGCCUGUCCCGACCGUCUGAGAAGCGAGGCAGCCACUCCGGAGACCGACAGUCAGUGCGUCAGCACAGAGACCCGGCCCCAAGCCUCCCUGCCAGGGGGUGCCCUUCCUUCUGUAGAGGAGCAGCUCCGGUGGUUCUCCUCCCCCUCUCCACCCUGCGGCCCACCUCUGCCACCACAUAUCAUUUGAAAACAAGCUUCGUGAAGUCAAGCACCUUGUCUGUUUUGUCACCGCUGUAUUCUAGAUAGUGUCUGACAAGUUUCCAAAAGAUGUCAUCAAUCCAGAGCACAGGCUCCAGACGCACAGGCUCAGCGGCCAUGGCUCACGGGCCCAGCCGCUUCACAGCAUGUGGGAUCUUCCCGGACCAGGGCACGAACCCGUGUCCCCUGCAUCGGCAGGCGGACUCUCAACCACUGCACCACCAGGGAAAC